CCUACGGGAGGCAGCAGUGGGGAAUAUUGGACAAUGGGGGCAACCCUGAUCCAGCCAUGCCGCGUGUGUGAAGAAGGCCCUCGGGUUGUAAAGCACUUUCAGUGAGGAAGAACGCCUGGUGGUUAAUACCCAUCAGGAAAGACAUCACUCACAGAAGAAGCACCGGCUAACUCCGUGCCAGCAGCCGCGGUAAUACGGAGGGUGCGAGCGUUAAUCGGAAUUACUGGGCGUAAAGCGCGCGUAGGUGGCUUGAUAAGCCGGUUGUGAAAGCCCCGGGCUCAACCUGGGAACGGCAUCCGGAACUGUCAAGCUAGAGUGCAGGAGAGGAAGGUAGACUUCCCGGUGUAGCGGUGAAAUGCGUAGAGAUCGGGAGGAAUACCAGUGGCGAAGGCGGCCUUCUGGACUGACACUGACACUGAGGUGCGAAAGCGUGGGUAGCAAACAGGAUUAGAUACCCUUGUAGUC
rnacentral:rRNA from 1 species